UACGUAGGGGGCAAGCGUUGUCCGGAUUUAUUGGGCGUAAAGAGCGUGUAGGCGGCCAUACAGGUCCGUUGUGAAAACUCGAGGCUCAACCUCGAGACGUCGAUGGAAACCGUAUGGCUAGAGUCCGGAAGAGGAGAGUGGAAUUCCUGGUGUAGCGGUGAAAUGCGCAGAUAUCGGGAAGAACACCCGUGGCGAAGGCGGUUCUCUGGGACGGUACUGACGCUGAGACGCGAAAGCGUGGGGAGCGAACAGG
rnacentral:rRNA from 1 species